UACGUAGGGUGCGAGCGUUAAUCGGAAUUACUGGGCGUAAAGGGUGCGCAGGCGGUUCUGCAAGUCCGGCGUGAAAGCCCCGGGCUUAACCUGGGAAUGGCGCUUGAAACUACAGGACUGGAGUAUGGCAGAGGGAGGUGGAAUUCCACGUGUAGCGGUGAAAUGCGUAGAGAUGUGGAGGAACACCGAUGGCGAAGGCAGCCUCCUGGGACAAUACUGACGCUCAUGCACGAAAGCGUGGGGAGCAAACAGG
rnacentral:rRNA from 1 species